AUGCUGCGUUUCCACCGCUGGAACUUCACCCAGAAACUAGGAACUUUGGGCUGGUAUUCUUAUCCUAAUGAGGCCUCAAGCACUAAAGGCUCUAUGAUAUACUCUAUCCAACAGCAGAAGACACCAGGAGUGGGGAAGGUUCUGGAAGCCUACAAUGAAGAGAGUGGCAACAAAGCUAUCUGCACAAUCAUGUGCCUGCUUGCUCACUUCAAGGAGGGGAAUGGUAUCUUCCUUACGGCUGAUAGCCUUUUGUGGCAUAAACCCCAGAUGGGCAGCAAGGCAGAGAAGAAACUAGGGCUGAACGCACCAGUUUGCACCCUUCUUAGGAAACUGCUGGAUUUGAAUUGGUGGACAGGGGACAUUAGAGGAUCACUCCAUAGUGUAGUAUGUUUGACAACUCGUUCAACCAGUUUGGUACAGUUACAGAUUGUUUGUGCAUUGUGCACCGUUUUCUCAACAGUUUUAAGAGAAAAAAAAAAUAUAUUUAAAAAAAAAAUACUAAGUGUUUUGUUUUUCUUUGCAGAAGUCUGAAAGAGGACAUUUAUCCAAGUUACAACAUUUAAUUGUAAUAUUUACAAUAUUCUGUCCUGUGAAAUUACAGGAAAUCCCUAAAAUUACAGGAAAUUCCUGGCUACUGAGUUGCCGUAAAUAUAACAUUUUGCUGUAAUAUUUAUAGUAUUCUAUCCUGUGAAAUUACAGGAAAAGUACAGUACCUUGUUGUAGUUAUUUUACAAUAACAGUCCUGUAUACUGUUUACAGUAAAUUUACGGCAACUAUUAGCCAGGAAUUUUCUGUAAAAAUUACAAGAAAUUUCUAACAGUGACACAUCUUCUCCUGAUGACCCCGAAAAGAACUUAAAUUACACUUUCAGUUUUGAUCGUACAGAUAAGAGCAAUACAUCAAUCGAAUCUGUAAAGGGUCUACUUUUUUUGUAUACAGACAUAAUAACAACAACAAAACUUUGUGCAUUUAUAAAAUAAAGAAAACCAACAGGGUGCGCUGUCUGCAGCGAUCUUCAUUCAGAAACGCGUCAUUAAAAUGAACUGUAACUGUCACGUCCGGGAUACAAAGAAACACAGUGAGAGAUCCAAAUGCUGUGUUUUAUUAGGGUAAUCCAGAAUCAUAAAUCAGCCAGGCAAAGGUCACAAUCCAGGUAAGCAGUCCAAAAACAAGGAACAUAAACAACGGCAAGGAAACACGAAAAAGCAGGGUGACAUUAAACAAGGACUCCGUAACAAUGACAGAAACAACCAGGGUAUUUAUAGACAGGUGCAAACAAUGUAAGUGGGGACAGCUGAAUACAAUGAACAGUGAUGAAUACAGACAAGGCUUGUGGGAAAUGUAGUUCCUGAGGUGGGGUGACGAUAUGGGGAAGUGAGACCUCUAGUGGACACCCAGGGAACACAAACCAGACACUGUGACAGUAACUCAGUGAAUACUCAACACAGAGACAUGAGAGAGAUAUCUAUAGAAAGCCUGACAUGUCUACUUUUAAACUAAACAAGUGCUGCCGAAAACAAAUAUUCUGUGAUAAAGUAAUCCAUAUAAAAAAACAACGCGAUGUCCGUUUUUCACGUCUCCCUUCAUUAUCUUCUAAUGCGACCACGCCCCGCGCCGAGCGCUUUUUGAGAUUCAAAUGUUUCACUGAAGCGCGCGGCUUUUGAAUACGCCCACACAACAGAAGACAACGCAGCGAGACUGUUCUUCAAGUUUUUAUUAUUUUACUGUUUGCUUCGCGAUGAGAGGAAUAAGACAUAAUUCACCCCAAAAAGAUGUGAUGUGGUUGAGGAUUUGAGAUUUGGAUUUCCUCAGAAAAAAU
ensembl:lncRNA